rnacentral:rRNA from 1 species
GAUGAACGCUGGCGGCGUGCCUAAUACAUGCAAGUCGAGCGAACAGACGAGGAGCUUGCUCCUCUGACGUUAGCGGCGGACGGGUGAGUAACACGUGGAUAACCUACCUAUAAGACUGGGAUAACUUCGGGAAACCGGAGCUAAUACCGGAUAAUAUAUUGAACCGCAUGGUUCAAUAGUGAAAGACGGUUUUGCUGUCACUUAUAGAUGGAUCCGCGCCGCAUUAGCUAGUUGGCAAGGUAACGGCUUACCAAGGCAACGAUGCGUAGCCGACCUGAGAGGGUGAUCGGCCACACUGGAACUGAGACACGGUCCAGACUCCUACGGGAGGCAGCAGUAGGGAAUCUUCCGCAAUGGGCGAAAGCCUGACGGAGCAACGCCGCGUGAGUGAUGAAGGUCUUCGGAUCGUAAAACUCUGUUAUUAGGGAAGAACAAAUGUGUAAGUAACUAUGCACGUCUUGACGGUACCUAAUCAGAAAGCCACGGCUAACUACGCG